ACGCUGGCGGCAUGCCUAAUACAUGCAAGUCGAACGAGAGGAAGGAAAGCUUGCUUUUCUGAAUCUAGUGGCGAACGGGUGAGUAACACGUAGGUAACCUGCCCAUGUGCCCGGGAUAACUUCUGGAAACGGAUGCUAAAACCGGAUAGGUAGCAGACAAGCAUUUGACUGCUAUUAAAGUGGCCUUGGCCAUGAACAUGGAUGGACCUGCGGUGCAUUAGCUGGUUGGUGAGGUAACGGCCCACCAAGGCGACGAUGCAUAGCCGGCCUGAGAGGGCGGACGGCCACAUUGGGACUGAGACACGGCCCAAACUCCUACGGGAGGCAGCAGUAGGGAAUUUUCGUCAAUGGGGGGAACCCUGAACGAGCAAUGCCGCGUGAGUGAGGAAGGUCUUCGGAUCGUAAAGCUCUGUUGUAAGAGAAAAACGGCACUCAUAGGGAAUGAUGAGUGAGUGAUGGUAUCUUACCAGAAAGUCACGGCUAACUACGUGCCAGCAGCCGCGGUAAUACGUAGGUGGCGAGCGUUAUCCGGAAUGAUUGGGCGUAAAGGGUGCGUAGGUGGCAGAUCAAGUCUGGAGUAAAAGGUAUGGGCUCAACCCGUACUGGCUCUGGAAACUGAUCAGCUAGAGAACAGAAGAGGACGGCGGAACUCCAUGUGUAGCGGUAAAAUGCGUAGAUAUAUGGAAGAACACCGGUGGCGAAGGCGGCCGUCUGGUCUGGAUUCUGACACUGAAGCACGAAAGCGUGGGGAGCAAAUAGGAUUAGAUACCCUAGUAGUCCACGCCGUAAACGAUGAGAACUAGGUGUUGGGGGAAUAACUCAGUGCCGCAGUUAACGCAGUAAGUUCUCCGCCUGGGGAGUAUGCACGCAAGUGUGAAACUCAAAGGAAUUGACGGGGGCCCGCACAAGCGGUGGAGUAUGUGGUUUAAUUCGAAGCAACGCGAAGAACCUUACCAGGCCUUGACAUCCCUUGCAGAGGUAUAGAGAUAUAUCCGAGGCUAUCAAGGAGACAGGUGGUGCAUGGUUGUCGUCAGCUCGUGUCGUGAGAUGUUGGGUUAAGU
rnacentral:rRNA from 1 species